CUCCCGCAAGAGUUGCAG
rnacentral:snRNA from 1 species